GUGAUCAGGUUGGUUCCACCAUGCUAAUCAUAACCACCAGUGAUCAUGUAAUCAGUGCUCUGUUUGUGUAUGACCGACCCGUAGCUUUGAGUGGCCAGGAGCUGUUCUACACUGCCAUACCCAUCAAUUGGGCGCUGGCAAAGGCCUCACCUCCAGCCUUACCUCUUGCCUGCUCACCAACGGUCGUCGAUGGGUAGACCAGAGUUAGAAACGUGUGUGGUGCCAGCACAUGGAGAGUUGCAAGAUGAUGUGAUGAAGUCCAGACUGACAGACGGGCUUGAUACUGAUCUCUCUAAAUGGAGAGAGACCUGGCACUCGGCAUUAAAAUUUUACUAGACA